CCUACGGGUGGCAGCAGUGGGGAAUAUUGCACAAUGGGGGAAACCCUGAUGCAGCGACGCCGCGUGAGGGAAGAAGUAAUUCGUUAUGUAAAGCUCUAUCAGCAGGGAAGAAAAUGACGGUACCUGAGUCAGAAGCCCCGGCUAACUACGUGACAGCAGCCGCGGUAAUACGUAGGGGGCAAGCGUUAUCCGGAUUUACUGGGUGUAAAGGGAGCGUAGACGGCAGUGCAAGUCUGGAGUGAAAGGCGGGGGCUCAACCCCCGGACUGCUCUGGAAACUGUACGGCUGGAGUGCAGGAGAGGUAAGUGGAAUUCCUAGUGUAGCGGUGAAAUGCGUAGAUAUUAGGAGGAACACCAGUGGCGAAGGCGGCUUACUGGACUGUAACUGACGUUGAGGCUCGAAAGCGUGGGGAGCAAACAGGAUUAGAUACCCUUGUAGUC
rnacentral:rRNA from 1 species